rnacentral:rRNA from 1 species
AUACGUAGGGUGCGAGCGUUGUCCGGAAUUACUGGGCGUAAAGAGCUCGUAGGUGGUUUGUCGCGUCGUCUGUGAAAUUCCGGGGCUUAACUCCGGGCGUGCAGGCGAUACGGGCAUAACUUGAGUACUGUAGGGGAGACCGGAAUUCCUGGUGUAGCGGUGAAAUGCGCAGAUAUCAGGAGGAACACCGGUGGCGAAGGCGGGGCUCUGGGCAGUAACUGACGCUGAGGAGCGAAAGCAUGGGUAGCGAACAGGAUUAGAUACCCUGGUAGUCCAUGCCGUAAACGGUGGGCGCUAGGUGUAGGGGUCUUCCACGACUUCUGUGCCGUAGCUAACGCAUUAAGCGCCCCGCCUGGGGAGUACGGCCGCAAGGCUAAAACUCAAAGGAAUUGACGGGG